rnacentral:rRNA from 1 species
UACGUAGGGUGCGAGCGUUAAUCGGAAUAACUGGGCGUAAAGGGUGCGUAGGCGGUUAGCUAAGACGGAUGAGAAAGACCUGGGCUUAACCUAGGGGUGUCAUGGGUGACUGGCUAGCUAGAAUAUGGCAGAGGGAGAUGGAAUUCCCCAUGUAGCGGUGAAAUGCGUAGAGAUGGGGAGGAACACCGAUGGCGAAGGCAGUCUUCUGGGCCGAUAUUGACGCUGAGGCACGAAGGCGUGGGGAUCGAACAGG